rnacentral:rRNA from 1 species
GAUGAACGCUGGCGGCGUGCCUAACACAUGCAAGUCGAACGAAGCACCUUGAUUUCCUCGGAUUGAUAGGUGACUGAGUGGCGGACGGGUGAGUAACGCGUGAGUAACCUGCCUUCAAGAGGGGGAUAACACAGAGAAAUUUGUGCUAAUACCGCAUGACACCGUAGUGUCGCAUGACACAUCGGUCAAAAGAUUUAUCGCUUGAAGAUGGACUCGCGUCUGAUUAGCUAGUUGGUGAGGUAACGGCCCACCAAGGCGACGAUCAGUAGCCGGCCUGAGAGGGUGAACGGCCACAUUGGGACUGAGACACGGCCCAGACUCCUACGGGAGGCAGCAGUGGGGAAUAUUGCGCAAUGGGGGAAACCCUGACGCAGCAACGCCGCGUGAAGGAUGAAGGCCUUCGGGUUGUAAACUUUGUCUUAUGGAAGAACAAGGACGGUACCA